rnacentral:rRNA from 1 species
AGAGGGGAACUAACCCGGCGAAAGUCGGACUAAUACCGCAUAAAACAGGGGCACCGCAGUGGUGAUAUUUGUUAAAGAGAUUCGCUGAUAGAUGGGCAUGCGUUCCAUUAGGUAGUUGGUGAGGUAACGGCUCACCAAGCCGACGAUGGAUAGGGGAACUGAGAGGUUGGUCCCCCCACACUGGUACUGAGACACGGACCAGACUCCUACGGGAGGCAGCAGUGAGGAAUAUUGGUCAAUGGGCGGGAGCCUGAACCAGCCAAGUCGCGUAGAAGGAAGAAGGAUCUAUGGUUCGUAAACUUCUUUUGCGAGGGGAAUAAAGUGCAGGACGUGUCCUGUUUUGUAUGUACCCUGAGAAUAAGGAUCGGCUAACUCCGUGCCAGCCGCCGC